GACUUAAAAUCCGUCGACUUUCGAAAUCGUGAGG
rnacentral:tRNA from 4 species